UACGGAGGAUGCGAGCGUUAUCCGGAUUUACUGGGUGUAAAGGGAGCGUAGGUGGCAAGGCAAGUCAGAUGUGAAAACCCGGGGCCCAACCCCGGGAGUGCAUUUGAAACUGUCUGGCUAGAGUGCAGGAGAGGUAAGUGGAAUUCCUAGUGUAGCGGUGAAAUGCAUAGAUAUUAGGAGGAACACCAGUGGCGAAGGCGGCCUGCUGGGCUUUUACUGACGCUGAGGCUCGAAAGCGUGGGGAGCAAACAGG
rnacentral:rRNA from 1 species